GCCCAUUUCCACCAUGUUUCUUUCGAACCCUAGUUCCCAAAUACGAGAAGCCGACAGCGGCGACGGCGGCUCUAAAUCCUGUACCAGUCUGUCCCCAUCCGGUGCCGACGUGUAUCGAGGGAGACGGCGACGAUCCUCCUCUCACGCCUUCUCUCUUGUGGCGGCAAUGGAGUCCUAGCAACGGUGCCUACACCCUACAGCUCGUCAAGCCAACUUGGGAUGGAGCCGACGGAGUACUUUGAUGGGGGAGACAUGAAUGGGGACUCGAAGGCGCCUGUUUCUGUCACCAGAUGUUGCCACGUCCUCAAUUGGAUCUGCCCGAUAGCCUUUACAGGUACUUCUAUUUCGGAUUGCCCCCAUGUUCUGUAGUAUUAUUCUAAUUUCAGAUAUUUGCUCCCUCACUAAUGGCAAUAUGAAAGUCAAAAAGAACAAGUGGGCAUAGUUCUUUCCUGGUCUUCAGCGGAAGUGAUUAAUGAAUUUCCUAGCUGAUUGUGUUGUAGUGCAAUAAACCACAGUUGAUUGCUGAACAUGCCCCUUUCAUGUCCAAAAAAUUUGCCACUCCAUUCCUGAACAAGUAGGUUCCUAGAUCUCUAUGCUUACAAUGUUUUGAUGCAUAACACUUUGUGCAAAAAGAAUUUGUUCUGAAGAUCCGGCGGAAUUUGUUCUAGUUUCCAGUACACUUUCAUAUCGGACAAGAGUUGUUUGAAAUAGUACAUUAUUUCUCUCUUGUCACCAAAGUUGCAGAUACACAAUGACAAUUGGCAACGUUGAGUGAUGCAAGAAGGAACUCCGAGCCAGUGGAAUGUCGCCAUUGAGCUGAAGCAGAAUGGCAUGCCUGCGGAAAGUCACUAUUUCAGUUGUAUGAGUCGUGUUUUUGCACUAAUUUUGAUACAUCACUUUCUUCCUGUCUCAAUUCCAGCUCGAAUGAUGUACUGAUGAGAACUAACAAGAAGAUUGGUGAAAACAAUGGAGGACUGAAUGAGUCAUGUUCAAUUCUAAGUAUCGUGUUCCUCAAAAUUUAUGAUUGUGUAGCCUGAAAAGGUAGAUGCUGGAGUUUUUGGAUUACUUCUGAGGAGAUCCUUUCUCAGUUGAAAUAUGGGAGGAGUUUUGUAGCGUCUGCUGUACAAGCGUCACAAAGACUGACAAUGUAUAGGCUAGUUAGUAAGAUCAGUUCCUAUCAUAUGCCAAAGGACAGAGAUCUGUGGGCACCUGGGAUUUGUCUUCUCAUAGCUAUGGUUUGUUAUGUACCUUAGAUCUGUCGAAUUCAAAACUCCUGGACCAGAAACACUGACAACAAGAUUGGCGCAUAUUGGCACCGUGUUCGCACUUGUGACCAUGUAUUAUGAUUUUUUGUUUAUCCAGAUGUAUCUCUGUAUGUAUGUGAUAAUUGAUAUGGUGAAUGGAACAAUACUGGGUUCUUGUG